UUUAAUAUGGCAGAUUAGUGUAAUGAAUUUAAAAUUCAUUAAUAUAGAUAAAUUAUCUAUUGUUAAAA
rnacentral:tRNA from 1 species